CUUUUGCCACCCACCAUAGGGCCUGGCCCUGGAUCAUUUACUCCUCACCCUGUCUGGUGAGGCAGACAGUAUCGUCCCCAUCUUAAAGAUGAGAAAAUGAGUCAGAGGUUUGUAAAGUGAUUUGUCCCAUACUUGGCAGCAUGGACUGGUACAUGAAAGUGCUGGGUUUGAGUUCUGACUGCCGUUUAUGGAGUCCCUUGGUGAGUCACUUCACUGAUCAGAACUUAGGUUUCUUCUGUCCAGUUGGGCAAGUCAUGGUCCCGCUGUGAUGACUUCACAGUGCCUCGUGAAGAGGACUGGAUGGAGAGUGAUUUGCCUAAAGAGGAUUUGCCCCUCCCAGACUCUGUCAGGACGGCAGCCUCGCUGCUGGGGCUCCCAGAGGACGUGUUGCUGGAGACGGUGCAGGUUAGAACCAUCAGGGCAGGCAGACAGCAGCAGGUGUUCCGGAAGCCCUGCCCCCGAGCCGAGUGUGACACCCGUAGAGACUGCCUGGCCAAAUUGAUCUAUGCGCGGCUGUUUGACUGGCUGGUAUCAGUGAUCAACAGCAGCAUCUGUGCAGACACCGACUCAUGGACCACUUU
rnacentral:sRNA from 1 species